rnacentral:lncRNA from 1 species
GAAAUGUACAGGAAUAAAGAAAAGCAAAACCAAGCAAACAAAAAUAAUGGGUUGUUUGGAGCAAAAUUCUUGACAAUUGUUUUUGUUCCUCUCUUACAACCAAGUAUAGGUCUUUUCAUAGAUAGUAAAUACACUGUAAAUGAUGAAAUUAAUUAAACAAGAGUAUCACCUAACAAAGGAAAGACUCAGAGGAAAGAUCCAGUGGCUGGCCGGGGGCAUCCCAGCAGGCAGGGCUUCCAACUCUAGUGUUGGAAGUCUCCUUUUGGUAUCUUCCACUGGCACAGAAAUCACCCCUGAUCAUCUACAAAUAAAAAGUGUUAAAGUCAGCCUGAAGUGCACUCUGGGAAUUACUGGGCUCCAAAAACCAAUUUGAGAAUUAUUGAUCUGAGGACCCCAUUGGAUUAUUAGUUCUAUUAGACUCAGACUGCAGAGUUUGUAACGAUAGCUUUUGAAUCUGCUGUUCCUAGCAGGGUAAGGAAAAGAAAUCCCUUGGGGUAAUUCUGGAUGGGAGACAGCUCAUCGCUAUUGAUUCUGCAUCCACUUACUUUCCUCCUGAAAUUUCUAAGCAGGUUAAAUAAAUUGCAACUGUGAGGGAAAAGAGAGCCAAGAUCUGGGAUCAAAAGUAUCCCAGAGGGCCCUGGACCUCCCAGAUUUUCCUGGUGGUCUAAGAGGUGAAUAGAGGUACCUGCUUACAAUUCAUAGGGCCACUGUCUCAUCUGGCCCAUCUCAUUUGUGGGUGACAGCCUAUCAUAGUCCAGAGGGUACAGAGGGGCCAAGGGAUAAAGAAGUGUGCAAGUGGAUGGGAGAGGAACCUUAGGGGAGAGAGGCCAGAAACAGAAUGAGGGGCUAAGUGACAUUAGACAGAGAUGAGGGACAGGAGGAGAAGCUGACAAAUGAGAGGGAGGGCAAAGCAUGGGAGAAGGGACUGGCAGGAGGAGGAGCCAAAGGUUAGGAAGAUGGCUUGGGUAGGGAAGCUGGAUAGUGGGGAAGGACUCACUUAGGGUCCUCUGCUAGGAUGUUUUAACUGGAUUUACUCCUGGUGUGCUGCUAAGAACAGGUAAUCCAUGUUCUUCUCUCCUAACAACACACUUCAGGACAGAGUGAAGAGGCCCCACACUGGGCAGCAGGUCAGAAGUUCUCAAACCCAAUGCCUGAACAGCAGCUCCUCUUCCCCUACCCCAGUCCAGCAGCCACCAUUUCACUUGCUUCUUCUCUGAGAAAGACCAUUUCAACUCUUAGAUCGAGUAAAGUCCUGAAGUACUUGCCUCUGGAUCUGACCCACCCAACUACACAUGUCCUUUACUCAUUCAUCCUAGGACACAGGGCAGGGUUUUCCUUCUUUGCAGGGCUGAACAGUACUCCAUUAUUAUGUUCAUGAAUUUCUCCAUCCAUCCACCCAUCCACCCAUUCACCCAUUCACUCACCCACCCAUCCAUCCAUCCAUCCAUCCAUCCAUCCAUCCACCCACUCAUUCACCCAUCCAUUCAUCUAUUGAGGUUAUUCGGGGCAUCAGCAUAUCUUGGCUACCAGGAGUGGUAGGACAUUGUAAAUGAAUACAGAGCACAGCUCAUCUCUGAGGUUCAGAUGAUUCCCUCUGGAUGGACACAAACACAGAAGUGAGACAGCUGGGCCAUAUGCUAGUUCUGGUUUUAGUUGUAUGAGAAAAUGAUACACAAGGAAAAGAUGUGAGAGGGUAUCUCUCUCUCUCUCUCUCUCUCUCUCUCUCUCUCUCUCUCUCUCUGUGUGUGUGUGUGUGUGUGUGUGUGUGUGUGUUGAAUGUCCUAACUCAUUCUUUGACAAGUGUUAGCCCAAGUUCCAUCGUAAAAUCUAUCACUCCAUCUGCCUUUUCUAUGAAGUGCCAGGGAUGGAACCCAGAGUUCCUUGCUACUACCCAGCCCCAAGGCAGACUUCACCUAUCUGUAUUCUAGCCCCUCUGAAAAGAAACCCUUUGCUUAACAUUUUAUAAAUGAUUCUCAAAAAACUUGUAUUUUCUGAGUGUAUUUUUAUUUUUUCAAAAAUCAAGGGAUAACAACUGUAAGGGCAAUUUAUCACGUAUGAUUACUUGCUCUGAAGUCAAGAUGCUUUCAAAAGACUUCCAACUAAGGGCCAGUUGUCUGCUGCAGAUACCCCUGCCCCUUCACUGCAGGAAACUGCCGGCACUCAUUGGCUCUGCACAGUCAAGCAGCCCAUGUUCAGUGCUGCUUAACUUGGGGAAGUUUCAAAAUCCAUUGAGGGACUUAAGAGUGUUCACUCUCUGAUCAUUGCUUAACUUAAUGUACACAGCAAAUUUAAUGAGACAGUUAUGUCUCAGUUUAAUGCUGUGUUUUGUGAAAAAUAAAGUAUUGAAUUUGAUUUGGGGAACAUGGGGGCAUGUUCCAGUACACAGAGGGUGGGCUAUCCCCACAAGUGGAGUUCUGUGAUCACUCAAAGUACAAGAUGGAGCUGUUGCCUGCAUCUUGUCUCUUCUCAAGCUGGUGUCUAGGGUUUACCUUGUUAGGUUGAUUCCACAUCAUGGUGUCUUUUAACUUGGUACCUCUCUCCAUAUCACUCUGUCAUGGUCCAGAGGAUUCUGACUCAGAUAGCCUUUCCCCACCCAUGCUACAGCAUUCCAUCUGACAGGUCAACCGUGUCCCCACCCCCAUAGAAUCUUUACUCGGAGAGAAAAAAGAUAUUUCCUCUCCAUAUGCAUGUCAUUCUGGCCAUGCCUUGGCCUUCCCACAUCUCCUCCUCAGAUCCCUCACUCUGAGGAUGAUGCCAUAGUUCUAUGGCCUGCUCUUGGUUAUAUCUUUGUGAAUAAAAGAAGUCUUGUUGCAAUCAAUGGUAAGCUUGGGGAUAGCAGUGUGUUGUAAAGACAGAAGACACUCUGCAUAUGCAAAUAUUUCUACUGCCUAUAGAACACAUGGGUGUCAUUUCC